GAUGAACGCUGGCGGCGUGCCUAAUACAUGCAAGUCGAGCGAACAGACGCGGAGCUUGCUCCUCUGACGUUAGCGGCGGACGGGUGAGUAACACGUGGAUAACCUACCUAUAAGACUGGGAUAACUUCGGGAAACCGGAGCUAAUACCGGAUAAUAUCUUGAACCGCAUGGUUCAAUAGUGAAAGACGGUUUUGCUGUCACUUAUAGAUGGAUCCGCGCCGCAUUAGCUAGUUGGUAAGGUAACGGCUUACCAAGGCAACGAUGCGUAGCCGACCUGAGAGGGUGAUCGGCGACACUGGAACGGAGACACGGUCAAGACUCCUAAGGGAGGCAGCAGUAGGGAAUCUUCCGCAAUGGGCGAAAGCCUGACGGAGCAACGCCGCGUGAGUGAUGAAGGUCUUCGGAUCGUAAAACUCUGUUAUGAGGGAAGAACAAAUGUGUAAGUAACUAUGCACGUCUUGACGGUACCUAAUCAGAAAGCCACGGCUAACUACGUG
rnacentral:rRNA from 1 species